rnacentral:rRNA from 1 species
UACAGAGGUCCCAAGCGUUGUUCGGAUUCACUGGGCGUAAAGGGUGCGUAGGCGGUCGGGUAAGUCUGACGUGAAAUCUUCAAGCUCAACUUGGAAACUGCGUCGGAUACUAUUCGGCUAGAGGAAUGGAGGGGAGACUGGAAUACUUGGUGUAGCAGUGAAAUGCGUAGAUAUCAAGUGGAACACCAGUGGCGAAGGCGAGUCUCUGGACAUUUCCUGACGCUGAGGAGCGAAAGCGUGGGGAGCGAACAGG